rnacentral:rRNA from 1 species
CCUACGGGUUGCAGCAGUGGGGAAUAUUGCACAAUGGGCGCAAGCCUGUUGCAGCCAUGCCGCGUGUGUGAAGAAGGCCUUCGGGUUGUAAAGCACUUUCAGCGAGGAGGAAGGUGGUGAGCUUAAUACGCUCAUCAAUUGACGUUACUCGCAGAAGAAGCACCGGCUAACUCCGUGCCAGCAGCCGCGGUAAUACGGAGGGUGCAAGCGUUAAUCGGAAUUACUGGGCGUAAAGCGCACGCAGGCGGUUUGUUAAGUCAGAUGUGAAAUCCCCGGGCUCAACCUGGGAACUGCAUUUGAAACUGGCAAGCUAGAGUUUCGUAGAGGGGGGUAGAAUUCCAGGUGUAGCGGUGAAAUGCGUAGAGAUCUGGAGGUAUACCGGUGGCGAAGGCGGCCCCCUGGACGAAGACUGACGCUCAGGUGCAAAAGCGUGGGGAGCAAACAGGAUUAGAUACCCGGGUAGUC